AUUGAACGCUGGCGGCAGGCUUAACACAUGCAAGUCGAGCGAGCGGCGGACGGGUGAGUAAUGUCUGGGAAACUGCCUGAUGGAGGGGGAUAACUACUGGAAACGGUAGCUAAUACCGCAUACUAUCAGAUGUGCACAGAUGGGAUUAGCUAUUGGGUGGGGUAAUGGCUCCCCUAGGCGACGAUCCCUAGCGGGUCUGAGAGGAUGACCAGCCACACUGGAACUGAGACACGGUCCAGACUCCUACGGGAGGCAGCAGUGGGGAAUAUUGCACAAUGGGCGCAAGCCUGAUGCAGCCAUGCCGCGUGUGUGAAGAAGGCCUUCGGGUUGUAAAGCACUUUCAGCGAGGAGGCGUUACUCGCAGAAGAAGCACCGGCUAACUACGUGCCAGCAGCCGCGGUAAUUC
rnacentral:rRNA from 1 species